rnacentral:rRNA from 1 species
AGCAGCCGCGGUAAUUCCAGCUCCAAUAGCGUAUAUUAAAGUUGUUGCAGUUAAAAAGCUCGUAGUUGAAUUUCGGGAUCAGUAGGUUGGUCGUGCCAAUGGUAUGCACUGGCCUCACUGGUUCCUCCUUCUUGUAGAACCGUAAUGCCAUUAAGUUGGUGUUGCGGGGAAACAGGACUGUUACUUUGAAAAAAUUAGAGUGUUUAAAGCAGGCUAACGCUUGAAUACAUUAGCAUGGAAUAAUGAAAUAGGACGAUCGAUCCUAUUUUGUUGGUUUU